AGCGAACGCUGGCGGCAGGCCUAACACAUGCCAGUCGAACGAACUCUUCGGAGUUAGUGGCGGACGGGUGAGUAACACGUGGGAACGUGCCUUUUGGUUCGGAAUAACUCAGGGAAACUUGUGCUAAUACCGAAUGUGCCCUUCGGGGGAAGGAUUUAUCGCCAUUAGAGCGGCCCGCGUCUGAUUAGCUAGUUGGUGAGGUAACGGCUCACCAAGGCGACGAUCAGUAGCUGGUCUGAGAGGAUGACCAGCCACACUGGGACUGAGACACGGCCCAGACUCCUACGGGAGGCAGCAGUGGGGAAUCUUGCGCAAUGGGCGGAAGCCUGACGCAGCCAUGCCGCGUGAAUGAUGAAGGUCUUAGGAUUGUAAAAUUCUUUCACCGGGGACGAUAAUGACGGUACCCGGAGAAGAAGCCCCGGCUAACUUCGUG
rnacentral:rRNA from 1 species